rnacentral:rRNA from 1 species
GAGCGGCGAACGGGUGAGUAACACGUGAGCAACCUACCCUCAACUUUGGGAUAAGCCUCGGAAACGGGGUCUAAUACCGGAUAAUACUACGAGCCUCAUGGUUUGUGGUUGAAAGUUCUGGCGGUUGGGGAUGGGCUCGCGGCCUAUCAGCUUGUUGGUGGGGUAAUGGCCUACCAAGGCGUCGACGGGUAGCCGGCCUGAGAGGGCGACCGGCCACACUGGGACUGAGACACGGCCCAGACUCCUACGGGAGGCAGCAGUGGGGAAUAUUGCGCAAUGGACGAAAGUCUGACGCAGCAACGCCGCGUGAGGGAUGACGGCCUUCGGGUUGUAAACCUCUUUCAGCAGGGACGAAGCGAGAGUGACGGUACCUGCAGAAGAAGGACCGGCCAACUACGUGCCAGCAGCCGCGGUAAUACGUAGGGUCCGAGCGUUGUCCGGAAUUAUUGGGCGUAAAGGGCUCGUAGGCGGUUCGUCACGUCGGGAGUGAAAACUCGGGGCUUAACCCCGAGCCUGCUUCCGAUACGGGCAGACUAGAGGUAGGCAGGGGAGAGCGGAACUCCU